GAUGAACGCUGGCGGCGUGCCUAAUACAUGCAAGUCGAGCGAACGGACGAGAAGCUUGCUUCUCUGAUGUUAGCGGCGGACGGGUGAGUAACACGUGGAUAACCUACCUAUAAGACUGGGAUAACUUCGGGAAACCGGAGCUAAUACCGGAUGAUAUUUUGAACCGCAUGGUUCAAAGGUGAAAGACGGUCUUGCUGUCACUUAUAGAUGGAUCCGCGCUGCAUUAGCUAGUUGGUAAGGUAACGGCUUACCAAGGCAACGAUGCAUAGCCGACCUGAGAGGGUGAUCGGCCACACUGGAACUGAGACACGGUCCAGACUCCUACGGGAGGCAGCAGUAGGGAAUCUUCCGCAAUGGGCGAAAGCCUGACGGAGCAACGCCGCGUGAGUGAUGAAGGUCUUCGGAUCGUAAAACUCUGUUAUUAGGGAAGAACAUAUGUGUAAGUAACUGUGCGCAUCUUGACGGUACCUAAUCAGAAAGCCACGGCUAACUACGUG
rnacentral:rRNA from 1 species